rnacentral:rRNA from 1 species
GUCACGCCCUAAACGAUGUCAACUGGAUGUUGGAGGGGUUAAACCCGUUUAAGUUAGUUCGUAGCUAACGCGAGAAGUUGACCGCCUGGGGAGUACGGCCGCAAGGCUAAAACUCAAAGGAAUUGACGGGGACCCGCACAAGCGGUGGAUGAUGUGGAUUAAUUCGAUGCAACGCGAAAAACCUUACCUACCCUUGACAUGUCAGGAAUCCUGGAGAGAUCUGGGAGUGCUCGAAAGAGAGCCUGAACACAGGUGCUGCAUGGCUGUCGU